rnacentral:tRNA from 2 species
CCUUCCAAAGCUCAGCUGNUAGAGCAGAGGACUGUAGGCUCCUUGCACGGCCAAUCCUUAGGUCGCUGGUUCAACUCCGGCUCGAAGGA